rnacentral:rRNA from 1 species
GAUGAACGCUGGCGGCGUGCCUAAUACAUGCAAGUCGAGCGAACGGACGAGAAGCUUGCUUCUCUGAUGUUAGCGGCGGACGGGUGAGUAACACGUGGAUAACCUACCUAUAAGACUGGGAUAACUUCGGGAAACCGGAGCUAAUACCGGAUAAUAUUUUGAACCGCAUGGUUCAAAAGUGAAAGACGGUCUUGCUGUCACUUAUAGAUGGAUCCGCGCUGCAUUAGCUAGUUGGUAAGGUAACGGCUUACCAAGGCAACGAUGCAUAGCCGACCUGAGAGGGUGAUCGGCACCACUGGAACUGAGACCCGGUCAAGACUCCUACGGGAGGCAGCAGAAGGGAAUCUUCCGAAAUGGGCGAAAGCCUGCCGGAGCAACGCCGCGUGAGUAAUGAAGGUCUUCGGAUCGUAAAACUCUGUUAUUAGGGAAGAACAUAUGUGUAAGUAACUGUGCACAUCUUGACGGUACCUAAUCAGAAAGCCACGGCUAACUACGUG